ACACAUGCAAGUCGAACGGUAGACAGGCAAGCAGCUUGCUGCUUUGCUGACGAGUGGCGGACGGGUGAGUAAUGUCUGGGGAUCUGCCUGAUGGAGGGGGAUAACUACUGGAAACGGUAGCUAAUACCGCAUAACGUCGCAAGACCAAAGAGGGGGACCUUCGGGCCUCUUGCCAUCAGAUGAACCCAGAUGGGAUUAGCUAGUAGGUGGGGUAACGGCUCACCUAGGCGACGAUCCCUAGCUGGUCUGAGAGGAUGACCAGCCACACUGGAACUGAGACACGGUCCAGACUCCUACGGGAGGCAGCAGUGGGGAAUAUUGCACAAUGGGCGCAAGCCUGAUGCAGCCAUGCCGCGUGUAUGAAGAAGGCCUUCGGGUUGUAAAGUACUUUCAGCGAGGAGGAAGGUGGUGAGUUUAAUACGCUCAUCAAUUGACGUUACUCGCAGAAGAAGCACCGGCUAACUCCGUGCCAGCAGCCGCGGUAAUACGGAGGGUGCAAGCGUUAAUCGGAAUUACUGGGCGUAAAGCGCACGCAGGCGGUCUGUCAAGUCGGAUGUGAAAUCCCCGGGCUCAACCUGGGAACUGCAUCCGAAACUGGCAGGCUUGAGUCUCGUAGAGGGGGGUAGAAUUCCAGGUGUAGCGGUGAAAUGCGUAGAGAUCUGGAGGAAUACCGGUGGCGAAGGCGGCCCCCUGGACGAAGACUGACGCUCAGGUGCGAAAGCGUGUGGAGCAAACAGGAUUAGAUACCCUGGUAGUCCACGCCGUAAACGAUGUCGACUUGGAGGUUGUUCCCUUGAGGAGUGGCUUCCGGAGCUAACGCGUUAAGUCGACCGCCUGGGGAGUACGGCCGCAAGGUUAGAACUCAUAUGAAUUGACGGGGGCCCGCACAAGCGGUGGAGCAUGUGGUUUAAUUCUAUGCAACGCGAAGAACCUUACCUGGCCUUGACAUCCACAGAAUUUAGCAAAGAUGCUUUGGUGCCUUCGGGAACUCUGAGACAGGUGCUGCAUGGCUGUCGUCACCUCCUGUUGUGAAAUGUUGGGUUAGUCCCGCACGAGCGCACCCUUAUCUUUGUUGCCGCGAUUCGUCGGAACUCAAAGAGACUGCCGUGAUAACCGCAGAAAGUGGGGAUACGUCAGUCAUCAUGCCCUUACGGCAGGGCUACACCGUGCUACAUGGCGUAUCAAAAGAACAACCUC
rnacentral:rRNA from 1 species